rnacentral:rRNA from 1 species
UACGGAGGGGGCUAGCGUUGUUCGGAAUUACUGGGCGUAAAGGGCUCGUAGGUGGCCAACUAAGUCAGACGUGAAAUCCCUCGGCUUAACCUGGGAGCUGCGUGUGAUACUGGAUGGCUUGAAUUCGGGAGAGGGAUGCAGAAUUCCAGGUGUAGCGGUGAAAUGCGUAGAUAUCGAGAGGAACACCUGCGGCGAAGGCGGGUAGCUGGGCCGACACUGACGCUGAGGCGCGAAAGCCAGGGGAGCGAACGGG